GUCUUUACGGAGAAAGCUUUAUGCACCAUUGGAUGAGCCUGCACUUGAUUAGUUUGUUGGUGGGGUAAUGGCCUACCAAGACUGUGAUCAAUAGCUGAUUUGAGAGGAUGAUCAGCCACAUUGGGACUGAGACACGGCCCAAACUCCUACGGGAGGCAGCAGUGGGGAAUCUUGCACAAUGGAGGAAACUCUGAUGCAGCGAUGCCGCGUGAGUGAAGAAGGCCCUUGGGUUGUAAAGCUCUUUCGUCGGGGAAGAAAAUGACUGUACCCGAAUAAGAAGGUCCGGCUAACUUCGUGCCAGCAGCCGCGGUAAUACGAAGGGACCUAGCGUAGUUCGGAAUUACUGGGCUUAAAGAGUUCGUAGGUUGUUGAAAUAGUUGGUGGUGAAAUCCCAGAGCUUAACUCUGGAACUGCCAUCAAAACUUUUCAGCUAGAGUAUGAUAGAGGAAAGCAGAAUUUCUAGUGUAGAGGUGAAAUUCGUAGAUAUUAGAAAGAAUACCAAAUGCGAAGGCAGCUUUCUGGAUCAUUACUGACACUGAGGAACGAAAGCAUGGGUAGCGAAGAGGAUUAGAUACCCUCGUAGUCCAUGCCGUAAACGAUGUGUGUUAGACGUUGGAAAUUUAUUUUCAGUGUCGCAGGGAAACCGAUAAACACACCGCCUGGGGAGUACGACCGCAAGGUUAAAACUCAAAUGAAUUGACGGGGACCCGCACAAGUAGUGGAGCAUGUGGUUUAAUUCGAAGAUACGCGCAGAACCUUACCAACACUUGACAUGUUCGUCGCGACUCUAAGAGAUUAGAGUUUUCGGUUCGGCCGGACGAAACACAGUGCUGCAUGGCUGUCGUCAGCUCGUGUCGUGAGAUGUUGGGUUAAGUCCCGCAACGAGCGCAACCCUCACUUUUAGUUGCCAUCAUUAAGUUGGGCACUCUGAAAGAACUGCCAGUGAUAAGCUGGAGGAAGGUGGGGAUGACGUCAAGUCCUCAUGGCCCUUACGUGUUGGGCUACACACGUGCUACAAUGGUAUCUACAACAGGAAGCAAAACUGCGAAGUUAAGCAAAUCCCUAAAAGAUACCUCAGUUCGG
rnacentral:rRNA from 1 species